UACGUAGGGGGCGAGCGUUGUCCGGAGUUACUGGGCGUAAAGGGCGUGUAGGCGGUUGGAUAAGUCUGGUGUGAAAUGCUUCGGCUCAACCGGGGCGCUGCACUGGAAACUGUCUGACUGGAGUGUCGGAGGGGUGACUGGAAUUCCCGGUGUAACGGUGAAAUGUGUAGAUAUCGGGAGGAACACCUGUGGCGAAGGCGGGUCACUGGACGAUAACUGACGCUGAUACGCGAAAGCGUGGGUAGCAAACAGG
rnacentral:rRNA from 1 species